CGCGGGGUGGAGCAGUUGGCAGCUCGUCGGGCUCAUAACCCGGAGGUCGUAGGUUCGAGUCCUACCCCCGCAA
rnacentral:tRNA from 3 species